ACGAACGCUGGCGGCAUGCCUAACACAUGCAAGUCGAACGAGACCUUCGGGUCUAGUGGCGCACGGGUGCGUAACGCGUGGGAACCUGCCCUUAGGUUCGGAAUAACUCCCCGAAAGGGGUGCUAAUACCGGAUAAUGUCUUCGGACCAAAGAUUUAUCGCCUUUGGAUGGGCCCGCGUUGGAUUAGCUAGUUGGUAGGGUAAAAGCCUACCAAGGCGACGAUCCAUAGCUGGUCUGAGAGGAUGAUCAGCCACACUGGGACUGAGACCCGGCCCAGACCCCUAGGGAGAGAGGGAGUGGGAAAUUUUGAAAAGGGGGCGAAGGCUUGACCCACCAUUCCCGCGUGAGUAAUAAGGGUCUGGGGGUUAAAAACCUUUUUCACCGGGGAUGAAAAGGAAGGGCCGGAAAAAAAAAGCCCCGGCAACCCCCGUC
rnacentral:rRNA from 1 species